rnacentral:rRNA from 1 species
UCUCCCUACGGGGGGCAGCAGUGGGGAAUAUUGCACAAUGGGCGCAAGCCUGAUGCCUCUCCUCCGCGUUCGGGAUGGAGGCCUUCGGGUUGUAAACCGCUUUUGUUCAAGGGCAAGGCACGGUCUUUGGCCGUGUUGAGUGGAUUGUUCGAAUAAGCACCGGCUAACUACGUGCCAGCAGCCGCGGUAAUACGUAGGGUGCAAGCGUUAUCCGGAUUUAUUGGGCGUAAAGGGCUCGUAGGCGGUUCGUCGCGUCCGGUGUGAAAGUCCAUCGCUUAACGGGGGAUCCGCGCCGGGUACGGGCG